UCCCUGGUGGUCCAGUGGCUAAGAUUCUGUGCUCCCAAUGCAGGGAGCCUGGGUUCAAUCCCUGCUCGGGGAA
rnacentral:tRNA from 1 species